UGUAGUAGAGUAUAAGUCAAGGUACGCAAAGUUUUGAUCUUUGAGGAAUGGUAAAAGCCGUUGUUACAA
rnacentral:tRNA from 1 species